AGCGAACGCUGGCGGCAGGCUUAACACAUGCAAGUCGAGCGGGCACUUUCGGGUGUCAGCGGCGGACGGGUGAGUAACGCGUGGGAACGUGCCCUCUGGUUCGGAAUAACUCAGGGAAACUUGAGCUAAUACCGGAUACGCCCUUUUGGGGGAAGGCUUGCUGCCGGAGGAUCGGCCCGCGUCUGAUUAGCUAGUUGGUGAGGUAACGGCUCACCAAGGCGACGAUCAGUAGCUGGUCUGAGAGGAUGAUCAGCCACACUGGGACUGAGACACGGCCCAGACUCCUACGGGAGGCAGCAGUGGGGAAUAUUGGACAAUGGGCGCAAGCCUGAUCCAGCCAUGCCGCGUGAGUGAUGAAGGCCUUAGGGUUGUAAAGCUCUUUUAUCCGGGACGAUAAUGACGGUACCGGAGGAAUAAGCCCCGGCUAACUUCGUG
rnacentral:rRNA from 1 species